CAGCAGCCACGGGAAUACGUAGGGUGCAAGCGUUAAUCGGAAUUACUGGGCGUAAAGCGUGCGCAGGCGGUUAUAUAAGACAGAUGUGAAAUCCCCGGGCUCAACCUGGGAACUGCAUUUGUGACUGUAUAGCUAGAGUACGGCAGAGGGGGAUGGAAUUCCGCGUGUAGCAGUGAAAUGCGUAGAUAUGCGGAGGAACACCGAUGGCGAAGGCAAUCCCCUGGGCCUGUACUGACGCUCAUGCACGAAAGCGUGGGGAGCAAACAGGAUUAGAUACCCCUGUAGUCCCUGUCUCUUAUAA
rnacentral:rRNA from 1 species